rnacentral:rRNA from 1 species
AGAGUUUGAUCCUGGCUCAGAGUGAACGCUGGCGGCGUGCCUAACACAUGCAAGUCGAACGAGAACGGACUUAAGUUUACUUAGGUUGUCAGCUAAGUGGCGCACGGGUGAGUAAUAUAUAGUUAACCUGCCUCAAAGAAGAGAAUAAUUGUUGGAAACGACUUGUAAUGCUCUAUAUGCCUUUAUCACAUAAGUGAGCAAGGGAGAUAUUUAUAGCUUUGAGAUGGGACUGUACGGUAUCAGAUAGCUGGUGAGGUAAUGGCUCACCAAGUCUAUGACGCCUAACUGGUUUGAGAGGAUGAUCAGUCACACUGGAACUGAGACACGGUCCAGACUCCUACGGGAGGCAGCAGUGGGGAAUAUUGCACAAUGGAGGAAACUCUGAUGCAGCAACGCCGCGUGGAGGAUGACACAUUUCGGUGCGUAAACUCCUUUUAUUAGGGAAGAUAAUGACGGUACCUAAUGAAUAAGCACCGGCUAACUCCGUGCCAGCAGCCGCGGUAAUACGGGGGGUGCAAGCGUUACUCGGAAUCACUGGGCGUAAAGAGCAUGUAGGCUGAUUAGUAAGUUGGAAGUGAAAUCCUAUGGCUCAACCAUAGAACUGCUUCCAAAACUGCUUAUCUAGAGUAUGGGAGAGGUAGAUGGAAUUUCUGGCGUAGGGGUAAAAUCCGUAGAGAUCAGAAGGAAUACCGAUUGCGAAGGCGAUCUACUGGAACAUUACUGACGCUGAGAUGCGAAAGCGUGGGGAGCAAACAGGAUUAGAUACCCUGGUAGUCCACGCCCUAAACGAUGCACACUAGUUGUUGCUAUGCUAGACAUAGCAGUAAUGCAGUUAACACAGUAAGUGUGCCGCCUGGGGAGUACGGUCGCAAGAUUAAAACUCAAAGGAAUAG